CCGGGACCCCGCGCUGUGUGCUCACGGCCUGGAGAAAGGGAGCUGGGCGAGAGACGUCGGGCUAUCUGACGGGAAGGUCACCCGGUCCCAGAGUGAGGGGACUGCAGAGAUCUUGACACAAAUAACUAAAGAAAUUCUGCAUGUAAAUAUCCAGUCCACUUCACUGGGAGCUGAGACAUCCCUGUCUUAGGCUGAGUCCCGUGAUUCCCUCCAUCCAGUCGGGAGAAGCCUUCGCGUUCUCGAGGGAGCGAUUUAUGGUGGGGAUGAAGGGGAUUCAGCAGCCGCGGUGGAGGAUGGGGGUCAGUGCGUUCUGAGAUGAGGAGAGGAAGCAGACAAGGUCUUCAGAUGGCUCUUUAUCGAUAUUUGAUGACAGAUGAGGGCGAACAACUCAAGAUGUUGACACUGAUCCACCACAAGCCCCAAGAGAUCCUGGUCAGAAUAAACUGACGAAGAAAACAUAAGCAGAGCAGCAAGCCCCCCACGUCAGCAUGGACCUGACAAGGCAGCAGCAGAUGCGCAGACAUCCACAAGGAAGAGACAGGCUGAACUGGGAGAUAAACACUGGGCCGAGGUUGAAGCACCGUGAGCCUGCUUCUCGAAGUUGUAUGAGUUGCUGAAUCAGCCCGUCUGAGUCGGAUCGGAAGAGGGUCUUCUCAUCAAGCAAGUGUGCAAAUGUUCCCCUGAUCCCACCUCUGUGCCUUUGCUCAGGCAGUUCCCUCCGCCAAGAAUGCCCUCAUCUCUCCCCUCCAACCUGGGAAAGUCAUGGCCAUGCUGCAGUCCCCUCGCUCUCACAGCUUGUGUGGUCACAGAGCUGGUUUUAUGCUAAAGUUUAGUUGCUAUUUUCUGUGGUCAGUUUCUGAAGGAGGCCAACUGUCAUCUCUGUCCCCUUACAGAGUAUAGUCAGGGGUUUAAGACUAAUAGAGCCUGGACUGGCCAAUGUAAAUAUAACGAGAGCCACAUUAUAAUUUUUAAUUUUCUAGUAACACUUAACAGUUAUUACAUGUCACUUAAAAUCAAAAAGAAACAGGUGAAAUUAAUUAGAAUAAGAUAUUUUAACCAAUAUUAAGGUGACCAACUGUCCCGGUUUGCCCAGGACUUAGGAGUUUCCUGGGAUACAGACGUUUCAUUUCAGUAAUAAAACCAGGAAUGUCUCUGGCAAACCAGAUUAAGUUGGUCACUCUACUUAAU